rnacentral:lncRNA from 1 species
AUUGCUCGUCUGUUAGCCAGCCGCCCUCCAGCUCCAGAGUGUGGCCUCAGAACUCCCUGGAUGACGCCUCACCUCCUGGCCAGAUGGUGAAUGGGGCUCUGUGUGGAGGGGAUGCAGUCUGGGCAGAGCAGGCAAAGCUGGGAGGCAAGUGGCAUGUUCCUUGGGAUGCUUCCCCCACCAACUCACAGACCUGGGCUGCUGGGAGAGGCAGCCCCAAAUGCUAUUUGACCCUUCCUUUUGCUGGAACUGCAUCUUCUGGAGAUCUGUUCACCACAGACAAAUCCAUUGGCAGGUGUCCGGAAGGAAGCAAUAUAGAACAAGCAGCCCUGUGCCAGGGCCGUGUCUGUGAAGCAGAGCGGUAUGAUGCAGAAGUUUGUCAUCUUCAAGAAUCCCUGUCCUGGCGCACCUAGCCUGGUGACCUCUGCCAAGUGACUUGUUUCCUUCAAGCUUCCAUGUCUUCACCUCUACGGUGGAGAGACUGAGCUAAUAACUGUCUUCCACCUGCAAGAUGGAGGUGAGGACCACAUAGGAGCUGGCACGUAAUGGAUUUAGCAUAGUGCCUGGAUUAUGGUGAAGUGCAACAAGCUUAGCCACUCUUGAGUUUUGAGGGACACACCACACAUGCAUGAACAUAUGAAGGUGGUAUAAGAACCAAUAAGUGCACAGGUGAAUAAAUGCUGCAGGAGUUCAAAGCAGGGAGAGAGGGCUUCCCUAGGGUUCCAGGGAGGGCAGGCAUUCUGGUGAUUUGAACUGGGCCUCAAAAGAGGAUUCCAUUGAAAGGAAGGUGAAGACAAACCUAGCAUGUUCUUCUCAAAGCUUGGGAAGAGAUCUAUGCAUCAUAUACCCACUGCCUUUGUUUUAGAUGUUGAAGGCCUUGAGCAAAGUCAUAUGUCAAAUUAGUAGCAGAGCUGGGGCUAGAGGCAGUGACUUCUCUUGUACUUUUUCCAUCACACCUUGCUGGCCAUUGGAAUUUCUCUUAGUCACUAUGCGUUUGUUUGCAAGUGACAGGAAAAAAACUCAGUUCACACCGGCUUAAGCAGAAAAGCAAAGAAAAACAACAGCAGCAGCAUCCCAACAAUAACAGAGAAGAGAACGUACUGACUUCUCCCUUGGACAGACUCUCCCACGGGGGCUCCUGGCAUCUCCAAGCUUACCUGCUUCCAGCCUCACAUCCAGGAGAAGGAAAGCAUCUCGCUCCCUUCAAACAAUCCCAUGUCAAACAAUCAAGUCUCACCAGCCUGGUUGUGCUCACGGGCCUCCCAAACCAAUCACUGUGGCGAGAGUUUUAUUUAUUUAUUUUGUUGUACUCUGAUUGGCCAGACUUCGACCACCCGCUCACCCUUGGAGUCUUCAGAAUGACACGGUCUGGGGUGUUCUUACUGGUAGAAGAGGGAGUGGCUUCUGGGCAGACAAAAACAGCAGUGCCCAUUCAGUGUGGUCACAAGGUUUACACACUUCUUGUGGAGAAGGAGCAGGAGAGGGACCACCACCAAGAGGUUAAGCCUGAGUUUGGUCUUCUGUUACUUGGAACUGAAAUAAUGUGCAUUGACACACCUAACAAGUCAAAGUAUUGUCUUUUGCUGGUCUGCUCUGGUCCUGGAAACAUCCACUGAUAGAAUCACUGGUCUGGGACAAAUUGUGGUACCCAAAGACCUCAGGAAGCACUUAGAAGCAUUACUCCUGAAGUCCCAUUCGUCCCAAGAAGAGUUGCUGGCUGGAGGAGACAAUAUGUAAACAUGUCAUGACAAGAUGGUGUGGUGAGUGCUAUGUUGGCAUGUUGGAGGCAAGCAUAGCCAUGCUCACAGUGAGGAAUGACUUAGGAGCGCAACCACAGCCCCAUGCUACCUUCCACCAUUUGGAUAAAAGAAGGAAAAUGCCUUCAAAUUGCGAUGUAAGCUCUGUCCAGAGAAUUUAGGGAUGGUUUUACCCAACAGGAUUUGUGAGGCAUCGACCACCCACCAAGCACUGUUCUAGGUGGUGGAGUCACUGCAGUGAGCAAAACAAAGUCCUUGUCUGCAUGGAUCUUUCAUUCCAGUUGGGGUGGGUAACAAUAAACACAUAAGCAAUAAGCAAUUGAAGACAGGAGAGAAUACAAAUGGCAUGAAGAAAAAUAACACUAGUGAGUGAUUGAGAGCAGGGCAGAGGGAAAACCUGUCUAGGGAGGUAACGGAGAAGAAGAGACCUGAGGAGGGGCGCAAAGUGAAUCACAGAGCCACGUCAGAGAGGAUGCUCCAGGCAGAGCAAAUACAAGAACAGAGGCCCCAGAGCUGGGACCACAGGUUUGAUAUUAGAGGCUGGGGUGGGGAGCAGGGGUAAGGCAGAGUGAGUGAGGGGCAGGGAGCAGAUGAGUUCAGAGGGUUAGUGGGUGCCAUGUCCUGGGGCAAGGUCUUCAAGGCCAUGGUGAGGACCUUGGAUUUUACUCUGA